rnacentral:rRNA from 1 species
UACGGAGGGGGCUAGCGUUGUUCGGAAUUACUGGGCGUAAAGAGCUCGUAGGUGGUUUGUCGCGUUGUCCGUGAAAACUCACAGCUCAACUGUGGGCGUGCGGGCGAUACGGGCAGACUGGAGUACUGCAGGGGAGACUGGAAUUCCUGGUGUAGCGGUGGAAUGCGCAGAUAUCAGGAGGAACACCGGUGGCGAAGGCGGGUCUCUGGGCAGUAACUGACGCUGAGGAGCGAAAGCGUGGGGGAGCGAACAGG